rnacentral:lncRNA from 1 species
CAGAAAGCCAAGCUAAAAUGUGCACACUAAAGAUAUGAAAAAGAUAACAGUCAGGAGCAACUGUAGUAAACACAUAACAUUACAAACAGAUUAAAUUACCACAAAGGGACAGAUAAACUUCCUUAGUUAAAUUACAAUAAUUAACCACAGUAUAGAAUUCCCUGAGGUUUAGUAAAGCAAUCAUUCAUUGCACAAGUACUAUUUAUGAAACACUUUCCAUCUAUCAACAAUUCAACCAUUUUUUAAAGUGUCUUUUAUGUACCAGACAGAGUUCAAGGAGCGAGGGAUGCAACAGUGAACUGAACACAUAAGAUGCCUUGUCAGCACAGAGCUUACAUUUUAGUGGGGGAAGCAGGAACAAGUUAUGUAGGUGAGAUACACAGAAUGCUGCAUAGCAUUAAUCCUCCCAACAGUCGUGACAAGUGAGAGUUAUUACCUCAUGUUUCAGAAGAGGAACGUAUAAACUAUGUUAACUAGAAUUUCUGUCAUUUCUUCCCUUUCCAACAACGUGAUGAUUAAAUAACAUGUUCCAUCAGGUUGGACUGGGGCUCUACAGAGCUGUGGUGGGCCAUGACAAUGUGGUGCCUUUUACCCACCCAGGGUAGAACAACCCACGGCCCAGAGAGUAGAGCUAAUGCCCAAAUGUUGUACAACAGCAAGUCCGGAAAUGAGUCUUCAAGGGGCUGGGCAGAAGAUAAGAGAAUCUUGAAAUGAAGGAAUGGGAAAAGUAUCAAAGGGAUGGAAAAAAUUUCUGCUAGAUUUGGCAAGAAGGAGAAUGUGAAUAUUUCUUGAAGGCCAGGUUCAGUGGUGUGGAAGAGGCAGAAACCAGAAUGCAGUAGCCUGAGCAGUGGCAGAAAAGUAUGUGAAACUAGCUCACAUAGAAGAGAGGAGUCAACAAAUAGAAUUAAGAAGUUUAAGAAAAAGAAUAAAUUUAAUUAUGACCAAAGGAAUGAUGGAGCCCUCUGUGAAACAGCAGACACUGAAAGACUAUGAAGAAUCCCAUGAUCAGUGGAGGGAGAGAAAAACAUCAAGGAGCAAGGGACCGAGUAGGCAAAGAUGCAGGAUUAGAUUAUUGGAUACUGAUUUGAGACAUCCUUGGUUGGAGAAAUAUUUGGAAGAACAGUCAAAGAGGCUUGAGCACCGUCAUUGAAUCCAUGAACUUCAUCCUCAUGUUGGGAACCCAAGAUGCUGACCACAGCAAGGCACGGUGUAAAGAGGUGUCAUUUCCUUGUGGUGUUAUGACAGGAAAGCCCAGAGAAUCUCUGCUUCCAGAGGUGAUAUUUGGUUCUUCUUUCUGUUGUUAUUCUGAUGAGGGGUCAUUUGUUCAAUUACAAAGGUGGGUUAACAUUAAUGGUGAAUUAUAGGCAAAGCCAUUUGGAAGUAAAAUAAGAACCUAGAAGAGUUCAUGUCAUUUUCAAAGCUACGUUAUUUGCAAGGUCAUAACUCAAGCCUUUAAAUAAAUCUGGUUUGUUAUUUUUUAACUGAACA